CAAAUAAUAAUUUAAUAUGAAUUAUAUUAAUUAUUAAUUUUUGUUAACUGUGUAGAAUUAGAACUUAGAAUAUUUUAAUUAUUAAAUUGUUCUAAGAAUUCUAAUUAAACUCCUACCCUUUUCCCUAUAAAUUCCACCAACCUUCUCAAUCAUUCAUCACACAUCAAAUCAACCUUCAUUCACCCAUUCUACCAUCAAUCCCAGCAUCCAAAAACCACCAAUAAUAGCACAACCCAGCAGCCUUAUUCAGCCAGCAACUCACCCCG
rnacentral:lncRNA from 1 species